rnacentral:rRNA from 1 species
UACGAAGGGUGCAAGCGUUACUCGGAAUUACUGGGCGUAAAGCGUGCGUAGGUGGUCUGUUAAGUCUGAUGUGAAAGCCCUGGGCUCAACCUUGGAAUUGCAUUGGAUACUGGCAGGCUAGAGUGCGGUAGAGGGUAGUGGAAUUCCCGGUGUAGCAGUGAAAUGCGUAGAGAUCGGGAGGAACACCAGUGGCGAAGGCGACCACCUGGACCAGUACUGACACUGAGGCACGAAAGCGUGGGGAGCAAACAGG